UAGGGAAUCUUCCGCAAUGGACGCAAGUCUGACGGAGCAACGCCGCGUGAGUGAAGAAGGAUUUCGGUUCGUAAAACUCUGUUGUUAGAGAAGAACAGCGCAUAGAGUAACUGUUAUGCGUGUGACGGUAUCUAACCAGAAAGCCACGGCUAACUACGUGCCAGCAGCCGCGGUAAUACGUAGGUGGCAAGCGUUGUCCGGAUUUAUUGGGCGUAAAGCGAGCGCAGGCGGUCAAUUAAGUCUGAUGUGAAAGCCCCCGGCUCAACCGGGGAGGGUCAUUGGAAACUGGUUGACUUGAGUGCAGAAGAGGAGAGUGGAAUUCCAUGUGUAGCGGUGAAAUGCGUAGAUAUAUGGGGGAACACCGGUGGCGAAAGCGGCUCUCUGGUCUGUAACUGACGCUGAGGCUCGAAAGCGUGGGGAGCGAACAGG
rnacentral:rRNA from 1 species